rnacentral:lncRNA from 1 species
ACCAAGUCACCAGCACCAAUCUCAACUGACUCAUUUGACCCAUCUGGGGUAACCUUCACUUUUCCUUCCAGCAGAUAGCAAGUCUCUUUGUCACUGUAUGUCCAUGGAAAUUUGCUUGGGGGGCAACUCCACCUGUUAACUCAGCGCAUAUGCAUAAUCCAUGCAUGCAGCACAACCAUAAUUAAUAUCAUGUCCCAACCAAAAGAGAGAAGAUAUGAAGCUCAAAGCAACAAAGCAUGAGUAAAAUUACAAGAACUAAAAAGUAGUAGUUCUACUUACUAAUUGAUCUUUUCAUUUUGCAAGUCUCCCUAAAUCCUAAGAAAUAAAUUCUUUAAAAUUUUCAAAUUGCAUUUCAUCUUGUAAUUGAGAAAAUAAUUGCCUCUCGCUAUAUAUUUUUCGUCUCAUAAUCAGAAUAAUGAACAAAAUAUAAAUAAUAAAAAAGGUUAAAAGAGAAAAUCAACAGAGAAACAAAGAUGUAAUUAUUAUUUUCCAACAGAUGCAAUAUUGUGUGUGUCUCAACGGAAAAGCAAGUUUACUCAUCUCUUCCCAAUACGACACCAGAAAAUAUAUUAGGUUGUUAUUGCGAAAAAACAAAAUGAGAGAGAGAAUAGAAGAGAUAUAUACUUGGGCCAAUUUCUGACGCCCAGUUGGCUAAGCCUGGACUCGGGAGGAUUCUUAUCAAUUUUGAUACCCAAUUUGUCAGUAGACAUAGUCUCUGCUACUACUGUCAGUCUCACUGAUGAUGAUCUUCUGCUCCUCCUUGUUGUU